AUCCCCCGACACACAAAGUUUCCCCUUUAGUAAUCAUAAUUUUGGUUUCCACAUCUUUGAUUGUGUUUCUGCUUGAUAAAUAAGUUCUUUUGUAUCAUUUUUAUUAGAUUUCACAAAUUUAGUGAUCUCAUAUGAUAUUUGUCUUUUUCUGCCUGACUUACUUCACUUAGUAUGAUAAUUUCUAAUUCCAUCCAUGUUACUGCAAAUUGAAUUAUUUCAUUCCUUUUUUGGCUAAUAUUCUCUCUCUAUUUCUCUCUCUCUCUAUAUAUAUUCCAUAUGCCACAUCUUCAUUAUUCAUUCCUUUGUCAUUGGACAUUUAGGUUGCUUCAAUGACUUGUAUCUUUUCAAAUUAUGGUUUUCUCCAGGUAUAUGCCCGGAAGUGGGAUAUCUGUCUCAUAUGGUAAUUCCAUAUUUAGUUUUUUAAGGAAUCUCCAUAUGUUCUCCAUAGUGGUUGUACCUAUUUACAUUUCCACCAACAGUAUAGAAGAGUUCCCAGGCUAGGGAUCUAAUCAGAACUACAGCUGCUGGCCUAUACCAGAGCAAUAGCAACACUGGAUUUGAGCCGUGUCUGUGACCUACACCACAGCUCACGGCAAUGCUGGCUCCUUAACCCACUGAACAAGGGCAGGGAUCAAAACCCCUGUCCUCAUGGAUACUAGUGGGGCUCGUUACCACUGAGGCACAAUGGGAACUCCCUCUGACUGUUUUUUAAUUGUUUUGUUUGUUUGUUUUUUUGAUAUAAAGCUGUAUGUGAUGUUUGUGUGUUUUGGAGAGUAAUCACUUGUUGGUUACUUUGAUUGCAAACAGUUUCUCCCAUUUCUGUGGGUUGUCUUUUUGUUUUGUUUUUAUAGUUUCCUUUGGUGUGCAAAAGCUUUUAAGUUUAAUUAGGUCCCAUUUGUUUAUUUUUGUUUUUAUUGUCAUUACUUUAGAAAGUGGAUCAAAAAAGAUAUUGCUGCAAUUUAUGUCAAAGAGUGUUCUGCCUAUGUUUUCCUCUAAGCUUUUUAUGGUAUCUGGCCUUAGAUUUAGGUCUUUAGUCCAUUUUGUAUUUAUUUUUGUGUAUAGUGUGAGAGGAUGUUCUAAUUUCAUUCUUCUACAUUUUUAAAAAUUUAAAGUUAAUAUUUUUCAAUUUAAAAAUUAAAACUUUAAAUUAUAAUUUAAAAUUUUAAUUUAAAAAUAUAUUAUUCUUAAAUUAUGCAGGAAACAAGUUUUGGAGUUAUACAUCAAGUGGAUAGUGAUACUAACUUUUAGACUAAUAAUUGUUAUUUCUUUUCUUUAAACGUAUAUUAGCCUAUGAAAUCACAUAGAAAACAGAAGUGCAGUUACAAACCAUUGUUAGGAUAACACUAGCCUCUAUAAAUGCCCAUGCAUUUACCUCUACUGAGAUAUUUAUUUCUCCAUACAGCUUCAAGUUACUAUGUACUGUCUUUUCAUUUCACCUUGUGGAACUCCCUUGGUUGAGAACUGAAUGUUUGGAUGUAAUAAUGUAGUUGCUCUGGAAAUCAGAUUCGUAUCUUCCCCAGAGUUUGCUGCUUUUUGUUAUUGUUACUAAUUAUUAUCCAUGGUUUGGUUUGGUUUUGAUUGCCAUAGACUGUCCCUGUGGUGAGAAUUAGUUUGAUAUGUAAUACUAAGGUCUUCUCAGGUCUUUUCUGAUUCUUUCCCUGGGCAUGGUCCUUCACUUUCUCAUUUACCCCACUCAUACAGCUGUUUUUGAAUGUCCUUGUUUUUAUCUCUCUUAUUUCUUAGGGCUGCACCCCCGGCAUAUGGAGGUUUCCAGGCUAGGGGUUGAAACAGAGUUGUAGCCGCUGGCCUAUACCACAGCUCACAGCAACGCCAGAUCCUUAACCCACUGAGCGAGGACAUCAAACCUGUGUCCUCAUGGAUGCUAGUCAGAUUCAUUUCUUAUGAGCCAUGAUGGGAACUCCAGGAUGUCCUUGUUUCUAAAUGUCUGUCUCCCAAAA
rnacentral:lncRNA from 1 species